rnacentral:rRNA from 1 species
GACGAACGCUGGCGGCGUGCUUAACACAUGCAAGUCGAGCGGUAAGGCCCUUUCGGGGGUACGACGAGCGGCGAACGGGUGAGUAACACGUGGGCGACCUGCCCUCAGCUCUGGGAUAAGCCUGGGAAACCGGGUCUAAUACUGGAUAUGACUCCAUGACGCAUGUUGUGGGGUGGAAAGCCUUGUGCGGCUGAGGAUGGGCCCGCGGCCUAUCAGCUUGUUGGUGGGGUGAUGGCCUACCAAGGCGACGACGGGUAGCCGGCCUGAGAGGGCGACCGGCCACACUGGGACUGAGACACGGCCCAGACUCCUACGGGAGGCAGCAGUGGGGAAUCUUGCGCAAUGGGCGAAAGCCUGACGCAGCGACGCCGCGUGAGGGAUGACGGCCU